AGAGUUUGAUCCUGGCUCAGAUUGAACGCUGGCGGCAGGCUUAACACAUGCAAGUCGAGCGGUAGCACAGGGGAGCUUGCUCCCCGGGUGACGAGCGGCGGACGGGUGAGUAAUGUCUGGGAAACUGCCUGAUGGAGGGGGAUAACUACUGGAAACGGUAGCUAAUACCGCAUAACGUCGCAAGACCAAAGAGGGGGACCUUCGGGCCUCUUGCCAUCAGAUGUGCCCAGAUGGGAUUAGCUAGUAGGUGGGGUAAUGGCUCACCUAGGCGACGAUCCCUAGCUGGUCUGAGAGGAUGACCAGCCACACUGGAACUGAGACACGGUCCAGACUCCUACGGGAGGCAGCAGUGGGGAAUAUUGCACAAUGGGCGCAAGCCUGAUGCAGCCAUGCCGCGUGUGUGAAGAAGGCCUUCGGGUU
rnacentral:rRNA from 1 species